UGUGGGAGCGAGCCUGCUCGCGAAGGCGUCCUUUCAGUCAGUCCUUGGGUCAACUGACAGAAUGCCUUCGCGAGCAGGCUCGCUCCCACA
rnacentral:misc_RNA from 1 species